rnacentral:rRNA from 1 species
AGAGUUUGAUCMUGGCUCAGGACGAACGCUGGCGGCAUGCCUAAUACAUGCAAGUCGAGCGGACUUGAUGAGAAGCUUGCUUCUCUGAUGGUUAGCGGCGGACGGGUGAGUAACACGUAGGCAACCUGCCCUCAAGUUUGGGACAACUACCGGAAACGGUAGCUAAUACCGAAUAGUUGUUUUCUUCGCCUGAAGGAAACUGGAAAGACGGAGCAAUCUGUCACUUGGGGAUGGGCCUGCGGCGCAUUAGCUAGUUGGUGGGGUAACGGCUCACCAAGGCGACGAUGCGUAGCCGACCUGAGAGGGUGAUCGGCCACACUGGGACUGAGACACGGCCCAGACUCCUACGGGAGGCAGCAGUAGGGAAUCUUCCGCAAUGGGCGAAAGCCUGACGGAGCAAUGCCGCGUGAGUGAUGAAGGUUUUCGGAUCGUAAAGCUCUGUUGCCAGGGAAGAACGCUUGGGAGAGUAACUGCUCUCAAGGUGACGGUACCUGAGAAGAAAGCCCCGGCUAACUACGUGCCAGCMGCCGCGGUAA